rnacentral:misc_RNA from 1 species
AACGCACCUUGCGUCUUUUGGUAUUCCAAAAGGCACACCUGUUUGAGUGUCAUGAAACCCUCUCACAAUAAUAAUUUGUUUUCAAAUUGUUAUAUGUGGAUGUUGAGUGUUGCUGUAGUUAGCUCACUUUAAAUAAAUAAGCCACUUUUUUUCCAAGUAAGAUUGGAUAGACUUGGUGUGUAAUAACAAAAAACUUCACAUCACAGAGACAUCCUUUAUACAUCCUCUUGAGAAAUAGAGACUUCUAAAAAUUAUUUAUCUUUAAGACCUCAAAUCAGGUGGGACUACCCGCUGAACUUAA